CCGUGAACAGUUGAAGUUUGUGUUGCUUGAUACAUGAUAGUGAAGUGCAGACGGUGUACACAUGGCAGUGCUAAGAGAACUCGUAGUUUUCCCUUCAAAAUGUUUUAGAGGGGUUCGAUCAUAUUUUAUUUCUGCUCCUCUGUUCCAAAAUGGAUCUCUUAAACUCAACGAAUCAGUUUCAAAAGACGGUCGUGCAUUAGAUUUUGAACAGAGCGAUACGAAAAAAAUGAGCAAAGCUAUGAAGUCAUAUAUGGAGCGUGCCAAAAUCCAUGACAAUUUCAUCAAACAGCAAUUACAUGAGUACAACAUAGGAAAACGACAUUUGGCUAACAUGAUGGGGAAAGACCCUGAGUUCUUCACACAAACUGAUGUUGAUGAGGCUAUAAGAUAUUUGUUUCCAUCUGGGCUGUUUGACCAACAAGCAAGACCAAUGACGAAACAUCCUGAUGAGAUCUAUCCUAAACGUAAGGCAGCAGAAUUUGAUGUUAAUGGGCGACCCUAUCACAGUUUGUUCUACACAUCAAAACCAAAUUACUACACACUCAUGCAUGAUUUAGCAGCCGCCUUAAGAGACAUGAAGAUAAAAUAAUAAGCAGGGGAAUUCAAAACCAAAAACCUAUAGAAUUGUUUCUGUUUGGGUCUGAAUGGAUACCAAAACAAAAAAUUGAGAAUGUUCUUCUUGAGUCAUUGACUGAUGCUCAGUAUGCGAAUUUGAUCGAAAAGUUCGAACGCUUUAAGGUACGUCUACACUAGCAGUUUUUACAGACAAGUUACGGUCAUACAUACAUACAGACUCGAUACAGGCAUACGGAAAGCUUAUUCCGUUCAAUC